rnacentral:rRNA from 1 species
UUAGGGGAGCCGUAGGGAAACCGAGUCUUAAUAGGGCGUUUAGUUGCAGGCAAUAGACCCGAAACCGGGUGAUCUAUCCAUGGCCAGGGUGAAGGCACCCUAACCGGUGCUGGAGGCCCGAACCCACUACUGUUGCAAAAGUAGGGGAUGAGCUGUGGAUAGGGGUGAAAGGCUAAACAAACCCGGAAAUAGCUGGUUCUCCGCGAAAUCUAU